rnacentral:misc_RNA from 1 species
UGGAUGCUACAGUCAGCUAUUGGA